rnacentral:rRNA from 1 species
CCCUUAGAUGUUCUGGGCCGCACGCGCGCUACACUGACGAAUGCAACGAGCUUAUAACCUUGGCCGAAAGGUCUGGGUAAUCUCCAAAUUUCGUCGUGAUGGGGAUAGAUUAUUGCAAUUAUUAAUCUUCAACGAGGAAUGCCUAGUAAGCGCAAGUCAUCAGCUUGCGUUGAUUACGUCCCUGCCCUUUGUACACACCGCCCGUCGCUCCUACCGAUUGAAUGGUCCGGUGAAGCGUUCGGACCGUGGCCUUUGGACGGUUCGCCGUCUGUUGGAUGCGGGAAGUUCGUUAAACCUUAUCAUUUAGAGGAAGGAGAAGUCGUAACA